GAGUUUGAUCCUGGCUCAGAUUGAACGCUGGCGGUAGGCUUAACACAUGCAAGUCGUGCGAGAAAGUAUCUUCGGAUAUGAGUAGAGCGGCGGACGGGUGAGUAACGCGUAGGAAUCUACCUAGUAGAAGGGGAUAGCCCGGGGAAACCCGGAUUAAUACCGUAUACCUCCUUCGGGAGAAAGAAGGCCUCUCUUUGAAGCUUUCGCUAUUAGAUGAGCCUGCGUAAGAUUAGCUUGUUGGUGAGGUAAAGGCUCACCAAGGCGACGAUCUUUGGCUGGUCUGAGAGGACGAUCAGCCACAUUGGGACUGAGACACGGCCCAGACUCCUACGGGAGGCAGCAGUGGGGAAUAUUGGACAAUGGGCGCAAGCCUGAUCCAGCCAUACCGCGUGUGUGA
rnacentral:rRNA from 1 species